rnacentral:hammerhead_ribozyme from 1 species
GUACUGCUGAAGAGUCCCAAACUAGGAUCAAACAGCUGUCCAGUAC